rnacentral:rRNA from 1 species
GACGGGGGGGGGGCAAGUGUUCGUCGGAAUGACUGGGCGUAAAGAGCUCGUAGGCGGUUUGUCGCGUCGACUGUGAAAACCUACAGCUUAACUGUGGGCUUGCAGUCGAUACGGGCAGACUUGAGUUCGGUAGGGGAGACUGGAAUUCCUGGUGUAGCGGUGAAAUGCGCAGAUAUCAGGAGGAACACCGGUGGCGAAGGCGGGUCUCUGGGCCGAUACUGACGCUGAGGAGCGAAAGCGUGGGGAGCGAACAGG